GGAGAUUGGGUCCACAGAGAUGUAAUUUACCCUGGAGUGCCCAAGGCUGGGAACUGAGCACCGGGAGAGAUUUUCACCUGAGGGCUGGAUUUGUAUGAGAUUUCACGGGUAGGCCCCGAUUGACUUGAAAGUAUUGCCCAGGUUAAUUGGCUGAGGACCCUUGGAGUUGGCUCGUUGCUAAGGAGAACUGUGGGAGGACCAUCUGAAAGCACCUACUUCUCCAAGGUGUUCAAAGUAAUGAGACAAACAGGCCGUGCCGCUCUCGCCCACUCAUUAACUUCACAAAAUCAUUGAAACGGAUGGCCACACCAGCAAGUCCAGCUCACGGGAUGACUCUGAACCCAUGGGUAAUCAAUGACAAAUAUGGAGAAAUGAAAUGCCUCUAAAACGGACUACCUCGAAUUUCAGAAAAUGGCAUAGAGAAUGGGAGAUCACAGAGACCACACUCUUUAAGUUCCAGAAAGCCAUUUUAGUCACUAUUAAAGUCCUAGUAAAGUACCAAAGAACUUGGCAAAACUUCCAAACGUUUCAAAUACUAGACUAUGACUUGUGAUAUUUUGUGUCUCUCUUGGGCAAUUGAAUAUUCUAUGUCACUCAAAGAAAACAUGGUCCAUCUAACCCACCCCUUUCUUUUCCCCUGUCUACCACCAACCAGAUCUAAAUGGCAGUUGAGUAUACAGAUGAGGGUAUUCAUUACAGAAUCAUUUAUGGGAAUUGGAGGCAGCAGAAAUGUCCAACACUAGAGGAUUAGGCAAGCAAAGAGUAUAUAUAUAAAUAGCAGAUGAUUAAAAGGCAGUUAGAAAU